CCAUUACAACAUUAAGAGGGGAAAUCUUUGCCAUGUGUGCAGUCUUGGAGGGAAAACGCUUAGUCUCUCACCAUUGAGCAUCAUAUUAACUGAAUUCUUAUAAAUCAAGACGAGGUAGUGGGCAUGGUCCUGAGAAGAAAACAAUCAAAUAGAUGAUACACUGGUUUCAAGACUAAGUCUUCUUAUUCUCAAGAAUUACAAAAUAAAAAUGCAGAUAUGGAAUUUAUUGCAAUAAUAUCUUGGGAUAUGAAAUUGUAUCUAUAAAACACUGAUGUAAUGUUAUGAGCUUAUAAUAUAAAUAGAUACUAGACCAUCUCUGUUUUGUGGCACAUUGUAUCAUCAAAUUUUUGUGUGUGUGCAAUUCUAAAGUAAAAAAAUAAAAC
rnacentral:lncRNA from 1 species